GAGGUUGUAGCUCAGUGGCAGAGUGAUCGCCUAGCAUACGUGAGUCACUGUGUUCGAUCCUCAACACCA
rnacentral:tRNA from 1 species